GUAGGGAAUCUUCCGCAAUGGGCGAAAGCCUGACGGAGCAACGCCGCGUGAGUGAUGAAGGUUUUCGGAUCGUAAAGCUCUGUUGCCAGGGAAGAACGUCCGGUAGAGUAACUGCUACCGGAGUGACGGUACCUGAGAAGAAAGCCCCGGCUAACUACGUGCCAGCAGCCGCGGUAAUACGUAGGGGGCAAGCGUUGUCCGGAAUUAUUGGGCGUAAAGCGCGCGCAGGCGGCUAUUUAAGUCUGGUGUUUAAACCUUGGGCUCAACCUGAGGUCGCACUGGAAACUGGGUGGCUUGAGUACAGAAGAGGAAAGUGGAAUUCCACGUGUAGCGGUGAAAUGCGUAGAGAUGUGGAGGAACACCAGUGGCGAAGGCGACUUUCUGGGCUGUAACUGACGCUGAGGCGCGAAAGCGUGGGGAGCAAACAGGAUUAGAUACCCUGGUAGUCCACGCCGUAAACGAUGAGUGCUAGGUGUUAGGGGUUUCGAUACCCUUGGUGCCGAAGUUAACACAGUAAGCA
rnacentral:rRNA from 1 species